CCUACGGGAGGCAGCAGCGAGGAAUAUUGCGCAAUGGGCGAAAGCCUGACGCAGUAACGCCGCGUGGGGGAAGAAGACCUUCGGGUUGUAAACCUCUUUUUUGGGGGACGAGCGAGGACGGUACCUCGAGAAUAAGUCUCGGCUAACUACGUGCCAGCAGCCGCGGUAAGACGUAGGAGGCGAGCGUUAUCCGGAUUCACUGGGCGUAAAGCGCAUGUAGGCGGACGUGCAAGUCGUGUGUUAAAGCCCCUGGCUCAACUGGGGGAGGUCAUACGAAACUGGGCGACUAGAGGGCAGCAGAGGCACGUGGAACUCCCGGUGUAGCGGUGAAAUGCGUAGAGAUCGGGAAGAACACCAGUGGCGAAGGCGGCGUGCUGGGCUGCACCUGACGCUGAGAUGCGAAAGUGUGGGGAGCAAACGGGAUUAGAUACCCCUGUAGU
rnacentral:rRNA from 1 species